CAUGGGGGCAGGUCUCUCCCAUGCUGUUCUCCUGAUAGCGAGUAAGUCUUACAAGACCUGACGGUAUUAUAAGAGGGAGUUUUCCUGCCCAAUCUCUCUUUGCCUGCUGCCAUCCACAUAAGACAUGAUUUACUCCUCCUUGCCUUCUGCCAUGAUUUUGAGGCCUCCCCAGCCAUGUGGGACUACAGGGUCUCACUUUGUCACCCAGCCUGGAGUCUAGUAGUGUGAUGAUAGCUCACUGCAGCCUAGACCUGUCCAGGCUCAAGCAGUCCUCCCACCUCAGCCCCAUGGAGUAGAUGGGAUUACAGGAACCUGAACUCUCAGCAAGAAUGAACGUAUAGAACCAUCUCAAAUUUAGCGGCUAAGGACUAGGUCCUUGGCCAGAACCUACUGAAGGCUCUCAAAAUAGGAGGUCCAUAGACACAGAGUCCCAUAUAACAUUACAUCAGACCAAGGUCAUGGGAUUAGCCAAUCAAUCACAUACUGUAACCCAGAAACUGUCUGCCUGUAAGAAUAAUGAAAUAGUCUCCUGCAGGUACAGAUGAAGACCAGUCUGGUGAUAAUAAUGUAAAGAAUGGGGCACCAUACUAUAUUCGAAACUAAUUAUCAUUGUAUGGUGUGAAUUCUCCAAUAUAUUUAAUGCAUGGGUCCAAGAACCAGAUAAACAUAGGAGUUAUUUCACUUGUCAUUAUAUCUCGUAACCCAUUGGAGGAAUCUGUGUGCACUAUCCCUGUAACUCUGAGAUUUGUGAGUUUAGAGAACCUGUUUCUCAGAAUAAGAAUGCUACUAUUAGGGGACAAAGAAAGAGUCCCAUUAAACUUUAAUCUAUGACUGUCAUCCAGUUACUUUGAGCUCCACUUGCCAACAGACCAGUGAUGAAGAAAGGAAUCACCAUUCUGGCAAGAGUCAUCGACUCUGAUCAUCAGGAGGUGAUAGAGCUGUAUUGCUCAGAGGAGUCAAGGAAAUAUAUGUGUUUUACUUAGUGAUCUGCUGAGUCAUUUGUUCCAACAAUAAAAGGAUGAGUGCAGCAA
rnacentral:lncRNA from 10 species